CAGGAGGCAAUAAACAGAACAGGAAGCAGCCAUGGACACACUUGGCCUGGAGCUGGCCAUGGAGGCUGACGGUGGUGCACAGGGAGGACAGCGGACUGUCAGCUCUCAGCCUCGUGUCCCGGCAAAGCCCACCUGCCUUUCCAAGCCACUCAGCUGGGAGGGAACUCAAAACUCGCCAAGGCCGCUCCUGACCUCAUUGUGGCUGCUUGUGCAGGGAAAUAACUGGAGGUGGUACAAUUUCAAAAAUGUCACUUUUUCAAAACCACAAAGCAUAAUAGUAGGUAUGCUUGGUGGGCAGCUUGCCUCUCCUGAACUCCCAGACAGAUGGGACACCUGAGCCCUGGUUCCCACUAGCUGAAAGAAAUACCACAUUAGCUGGGGCAAGGCUGGUAGAGCAGUUGCCUCACAGUCUUCAGGCCCUGAAUUCAGCCACCAGCAAUGGGGGGAAAAAA